GUGCUCCAUUCGGCAGCACGUAUACUAAAAUUGAAAUGAUACAGAGAAAAUUAGCAUGGCUCCUGUGCAAGGAUGACAAGCAAAUUCAUGAAGCAUUCUAUAUUUUC
rnacentral:snRNA from 1 species